GUACACUCCUACGGGAGGCAGCAGUGGGGAAUAUUGGACAAUGGGCGCAAGCCUGAUCCAGCCAUGCCGCGUGAGUGAUGAAGGCCCUAGGGUUGUAAAGCUCUUUCACCGGUGAAGAUAAUGACGGUAACCGGAGAAGAAGCCCCGGCUAACUUCGUGCCAGCCGCCGCGGUAAUACGAAGGGGGCUAGCGUUGUUCGGAUUUACUGGGCGUAAAGCGCACGUAGGCGGACUAUUAAGUCAGGGGUGAAAUCCCGGGGCUCAACCCCGGAACUGCCUUUGAUACUGGUAGUCUUGAGUUCGAGAGAGGUGAGUGGAAUUCCGAGUGUAGAGGUGAAAUUCGUAGAUAUUCGGAGGAACACCAGUGGCGAAGGCGGCUCACUGGCUCGAUACUGACGCUGAGGUGCGAAAGCGUGGGGAGCAAACAGGAUUAGAAACCCGGGUAGUCCCAUG
rnacentral:rRNA from 1 species